rnacentral:misc_RNA from 1 species
AGCAGCCGCGGUAAUUCCAGCUCCAAUAGCGUAUAUUAAAGUUGUUGCAGUUAAAAAGCUCGUAGUUGAAUUUCGGGGUUAGCAGGUCGGUCGUGCCAUCGGUAUGAACUGGUCUCGCUGAUCCCUCCCUCUUGACGAACUGUGAUGCCAUUAAUUUGGUGUCGCAGGGAAUCAGGACUGUUACUUUGAAAAAUUAGAGUGUUUAAAGCAGGCUCACGCUUGAAUACAUUAGCAUGGAAUAAUGAAAUAGGACGUUUGAUCCUAUUUUGUUGGCUUCUAGGAUUGACGUAAUGAUUAAUAGGGAUAGUUGGGGGCAUUAGUAUUCAAUUGUCAGAGGUGAAAUUCUUGAAUUUAUUGAAGACUAACUACUGCGAAAGCAUUUGCCAAGGAUGUUUUCAUUAAUCAAGAACGAAAGUUAGGGGAUCGAAGACGAUCAGAUACCGUCGUAGUCUUAACCAUAAACUAUGCCGACUAGGGAUCGGAUGAUGUUAAUUUUUAAUGACUCAUUC